GACGAACGCUGGCGGCGUGCUUAACACAUGCAAGUCGAACGGAAAGGCCCUGCUUUUGUGGGGUGCUCGAGUGGCGAACGGGUGAGUAACACGUGAGUAACCUGCCCCUGACUUUGGGAUAACUUCAGGAAACUGGGGCUAAUACCGGAUAGGAGCUCCUGCUGCAUGGUGGGGGUUGGAAAGUUUCGGCGGUUGGGGAUGGACUCGCGGCUUAUCAGCUUGUUGGUGGGGUAGUGGCUUACCAAGGCUUUGCCGGGUAGCCGGCCUGGGAGGGUGACCGGCCACGUUGGGACUGAGAUACGGCCCAGACUCCAACGGGAGGCAGCGGUGGGGAAUAUUACACAAUGGGCGGAAGCCUGAUGCAGCAACGCCGCGUGCGGGAUGACGGCCUUCGGGUUGUAAACCGCUUUCGCCUGUGACGAAGCGUGAGUGACGGUAAUGGGUAAAGAAGCACCGGCUAACUACGUG
rnacentral:rRNA from 1 species